rnacentral:rRNA from 1 species
AUUGAACGCUGGCGGCAUGCCUUACACAUGCAAGUCGAACGGUAACGGGCCUUCGGGUGCCGACGAGUGGCGAACGGGUGAGUAAUACAUCGGAACGUGCCCGAUCGUGGGGGAUAACGAGGCGAAAGCUUUGCUAAUACCGCAUACGAUCUACGGAUGACAGCAGGGGACCGCAAGGCCUUGCGCGGACGGAGCGGCCGAUGGCAGAUUAGGUAGUUGGUGGGAUAAAAGCUUACCAAGCCGACGAUCUGUAGCUGGUCUGAGAGGAUGAUCAGCCACACUGGGACUGAGACACGGCCCAGACUCCUACGGGAGGCAGCAGUGGGGAAUUUUGGGCAAUGGGCGCAAGCCUGAUCCAGCCAUGCCGCGUGCAGGAUGAAGGCCUUCGGGUUGUAAACUGCUUUUGUACGGAACGAAAAGCCUUCUUUUAAUACAGGAGGGUCAUGACGGUACCGUAAGAAUAAGCACCGGCUAACUACGUG